rnacentral:rRNA from 1 species
AAUGAACGCUGGCGGCAUGCUUUACACAUGCAAGUCGAACGGAAACGGCCUACUGCUUGCACUACUGCCUGCCAAUGGCGAAAGGAAGAGUAAUAUAAUGUAACCUACCCAUCAAUGUAGGACAACCAAUCUAAAGAUUGUCUAAUACCGCAUAUGCUCUGAGGAGGAAAGCAGGAGACCUUCUGCCCUUGCGUAAUACCACCCGCCCAUAUCUGAUUAUCUAGGUGGAGGGGUAAAGGCCUACCAAGGACGACUAUCCGGAGCGAGACUGAGAGAAGCAUCCGCCACACUGGAACUGAGACACAGACCACACUCCUACGGGACGCAGCAGAGUAGUAAUUUUGGACAAUGGGCGCAGACCUGAUCACAGCCAUGCCGCGUAUCACAACAAUGCCUUCGGAUUGUCCAGGACUUUUGUAAGAGAAUAAAAAUGACCGGAUAAUACCCAUAUCUGCUGACUGUACCUAAACAAUAAGCACCGGCUAACUACAUGCCACCAGCCUCGGCAAUACUUACGGUGCGAACGUUAAUCGGAAUUACUGUGCCUAAAGCGUGCGCAGACUGCUACUUAAACAUGAUGUGAAAUCCCCGGGCCUCUCCUGCGAACUGCCUUCUGAACUGGGUAGCUAGAGUAUGCUCAGAGGGGGGUAGAAUUCCACGUGUAGCAGUGAAAUGCGCACAGAUGUGGAGAAAUACCGAUGGCGAAGGCAGCCCCCUGGGAUAAUACUGACGUUCUUGCUCGAAAGCGUGUGUAGCAAACACGAUUAUAUACCCUGUGAUUCCCCGCCCUAAACGAUGUCGAUUAGCGGGAGGGCAGCUUCACUGCUUAGUAGCGGAGGUAACGCCAGAAAUCGCCCGCCUGGGGAGUACGGUCGCCAGCAUUAAAACUCAAAGGAAUUGACGGGGAGCCGCCCCAGCGGUGGAUGAUGUGGAUUAAUUCUAUGCAACGGGAAGAACCUUACCUGGUCCUGACAAGUCCGGAGCUUUCCAGAGAGGGAAGGGUACCUUCGGGAGCCGUAACACAGGUGGUGCAUGGCUGUCGUCAGCUCGUGUCGUGAGAUGUUGGGUUAAGUCCCGCAACGAGCGCAACCCUUGUCAUUAGUUGCCAUCAUUUAGUUGGGCACUCUAAUGAGACUGCCGGGUACAAACCGGAGGAAGGGGGGGAGGACGUCAAGUCUUCAUGGCCCUUAUGACCAGGGCUUCCCCAGUCAUCCAAUGGUGGGUCCAAAGGGUAGGCACAGCCGGGAGGGGGAGGCAAUGUCAUAAACCCGCUCGUAGUCCGGAUGGCGUUUGGCAAUUGGAGCCCAGGAAGUGGGAAUCGUUAGUAAUGCCAGUUCAGCAUACUGCGGUGAAUACGUUCCCGGGUCU